AUUCUGGCUCAGGAUGAACGCUAGCGACAGGCCUAACACAUGCAAGUCGAGGGGCAGCACGAGGUAGCAAUACUGGGGUGGCGACCGGCGCACGGGUGAGUAUCGCGUAUGCAACCUACCUUCCACAGGGGGAUAGCCUUCCGAAAGGGAGAUUAAUACCGCAUGAAACAGGGGCCCCGCAUGGGGAUAUUUGUUAAAGAUUUAUCGGUGGAAGAUGGGCAUGCGUUCCAUUAGCUAGUUGGGGGGUAACGGCCCACCAAGGCAACGAUGGAUAGGGGAACUGAGAGGUUUAUCCCCCACACUGGGACUGAGACACGGCCCAAACUCCUACGGGAGGCAGCAGUGAGGAAUAUUGGUCAAUGGACGAGAGUCUGAACCAGCCAAGUAAGCGUGAAGGAUGACUGCCCUAUGGGUUGUAAACUUCUUUUAUAAGGGAAUAAAGUGAGGGACGUGUCCCUUUUUGUAUGUACCUUAUGAAUAAGGAUCGGCUAACUCCGUGCCAGCCGCAGC
rnacentral:rRNA from 1 species